rnacentral:lncRNA from 1 species
GCAAAAAUAAUCACUAAUAGAAUAAUUUUAAAAAUAAAUGGGUGUGUAUAUUGUGAAGUUACCAUUGCUGAAACUCUUAUUGAAAGCAAAUGGACUAUUUGAAAUCACCCUAAAAAAUGACAAGGUUUGCAUAAAGUCAUUGUAUAUCAUAUUACAAAAUAAUCUAUGAGUUGACUCAGUACCUCAGUUAUGAGAUUUUUUUCCUGAGUUCUAUUAGUAUUUAGCAUUACCCACACUAUCAUGGAUAUAACAGAGACGUUAAAUAAAACACAAAACUACACAAUAUGUAAUUUUAAGCUUUUAUUCAUUAGAAUAAUAAUUUUAAUUAUUUUUUAUCUAUGUUUUCUGUCAUUUUAAUGCCUAUUAAUUAGGAAAAUAUUUACUAAUUUGUAAAUCUUUUAUAAUGGAUACAAAGAGCAAGGGUGAACAUUACUCACAGAACCACAAACAUAAGGCUCAAUUAUGACAAGGGAAGGCACAACUUCAAGUACCAUUUCUGUCAGGUAUUUAAGAGUGGAGAAUUGUAGGUCUGGUUAGAAGUUGAUGGAAAUGAGGUUUACAGCAGUGAUGGUCAGAGCUGAGGGAUGCUGAUCUCAGGGACACUGAUUUGAGACAUGCAGAGGAUGGUGCAGAAGAGGAACUUUAUUCCACAUAUGAAGGCAGUCAAGGAAUCCAGCCAAGAUAAGAUCUCAUGCUGCAGCUAACCUGCCUCACCUGUGUGCCUUCCUCUGAGAGAUCCUGUGGCAACAAGAGCUGCAGGAACAGAUGGUAUAUUUUCCUCUACCAAAAAGAAGAUCGGAGUAUCUGGGAAAUCAUAUUUAUCUGUGGUGUAUC